rnacentral:lncRNA from 1 species
UGAUUCCCGCCCCAAACAAUUAAUUUUAAUUCUCAAACGAGCUAACAUUUCAUCAUAAGAUCCAAAUUCAAGGGAACCAACCACGAAUCAAAACAAAACCCUACUCACUACCAACAAUAAUCCAAACAAUACACGAUAUUCAAUCAAACACCAAAGAUAAUAAACAAUAAAAUAAAAAGAUAAAGAGAGUAGAAUUGGACCUCAAUUUGAAACUUUCAAACUCAAUGUUAUUCGAAUAAAGAGAGUCCGCACCCAGAAACCUCGAGCCGAACCUUAAUACCGACGAACCAACUCGACAAUGAGAAAUAAUAACCCGUAUUCACUGUUACUGUUCAUGGUACUAUUCAUGGGUCACUCAUGGUACUAUUCAUGGGUCACUAUUCACGGCUACUGUUCACACCGGAUUCCGUCAAUAACCGUCGUUUCUUCUUACUGAGUGUGUGUGUACGUGUGUUUUUCAGUGAUUAUGUGUAUGCGUGUGAUUUUGGGUGUGAAUCUGAGAGGUAAGGAUGAUUGAUUAUUGUUUUAAUGUGUUAUCGUGUAUGUAUUUAUGGAUUUUUCGUGUGUAUUAAUGGUGUUUUCCAUGGGUCUUGAAUGUGGCCGAUGGUGGUUCUGUGCGGGAAGUUGUAGGAUCAGUGAAGUAUAUGUGAUGGUGGUGGUGAUGGUCUAUAUGGUGUCUGUGGGUGUUAUAGUGUGUAUGAUGAUAAA